GAUUAUUUGGCCGAGACACAGGUAGAUAUUUUGAAAGUAUCCUACAGGGGUUUAAAUCCCCUAGUAAUCU
rnacentral:tRNA from 1 species